rnacentral:tRNA from 1 species
GGAGAGAUGGCCGAGCUGGACGAAGGCGCUCGACUCGAAAUCGAGUAAGUGGUGAUGAGCCGCUUCCAGGGUUCGAAUCCCUGUCUCUCCGCCA